rnacentral:rRNA from 1 species
AGCGAACGCUGGCGGCAGGCCUAACACAUGCAAGUCGAACGAACCUUUCGGGGUUAGUGGCGGACGGGUGAGUAACACGUGGGAACGUGCCUUUAGGUUCGGAAUAACUCAGGGAAACUUGUGCUAAUACCGAAUGUGCCCUUCGGGGGAAAGAUUAAUCGCCUUUAGAGGGGCCCGCGUCUGAUUAGCUAGUUGGUUGAGGUAAUGGCUCACCAAGGCGACGAUCAGUAGCUGGUCUGAGAGGAUGAUCAGCCACAUUGGGACUGAGACACGGCCCAAACUCCUACGGGAAGCAGCAGUGGGGAAUCUUGCGCAAUGGGCGAAAGCCUGACGCAGCCAUGCCGCGUGAAUGAUGAAGGUCUUAGGAUUGUAAAAUUCUUUCACCGGGGACGAUAAUGACGGUACCCGGAGAAGAAGCCCCGGCUAACUUCGUG